rnacentral:rRNA from 1 species
UGGGGAACUCUGGGGAGACUGCCGGUGAUAAACCGGAGGAAGGCGGGGAUGACGUCAAGUCCUCAUGGCCCUUACAUCCCGGGCUACACACGUGCUACAAUGGCAGGUACAGAGGGCUGCGAAGCCGCGAGGUGGAGCGAAUCCCAGAAAACCUGUCUCAGUCCGGAUUGAAGUCUGCAACUCGACUUCAUGAAGGCGGAAUCGCUAGUAACCGCGAAUCAGCAGGUCGCGGUGAAUACGUUCCCGGGCCUU